UACGGGGGGAGCAAGCGUUGUUCGGAUUUACUGGGCGUAAAGGGCGCGUAGGCGGCCACUGCACGUCAGUUGUGAAAUCUCCGGGCUUAACCCGGAAAGGUCAGCUGAUACUGCAGGGCUAGAGUGCAGAAGGGGCAACUGGAAUUCUCGGUGUAGCGGUGAAAUGCGUAGAUAUCGAGAGGAACACCUGCGGCGAAGGCGGGUUGCUGGGCUGACACUGACGCUGACAGCGCGAAAGCUAGGGGAGCGAACGGG
rnacentral:rRNA from 1 species